AGCGCAGGCGGUUUCUUAAGUCUGAUGUGAAAGCCUUCGGCUUAACCGGAGAAGAGCAUCGGAAACUGGGAGACUUGAGUGCAGAAAAGGACAGUGGAACUCCAUGUGUAGCGGUGAGAUGCGUAGAUAUAUGGAAGAACACCAGUGGCGAAGGCGGCUGUCUGGUCUGUAACUGACGCUGAGGCUCGAAAGCAUGGGUAGCGAACA
rnacentral:rRNA from 1 species